AUGGCCAGGCUGGGGCCCAGCAGCCUCACCCACACCCACCCACCUGCUCCUGAGUCCACAGUGGUGCUGUGGCCCGCCUGGGCCAUGCUGGGGGCUGAUGGCAUGUGGGUGCCGGCCACUUGGGUUGACAAGCGUGCACCACGCCCCGGAGGCACCGUUAAACCCGGUGUGGUGAGGGCGGCCCUGUGCAGCGUCUGGGGGCACUGUGUUUGCAGCCCUCUUCUCAUCCCCAGAUCCUGGCAGAGAACAGGUGCCUUCCCCGGGUGGAAACUCAAGCCUGCUCCUAACAGCUCUGCUUCCAGGUCAGAGCCUGGGCGCCUCUUGACCGGCUUGGAGCUGGCACCACUGGAAAGUGGCUUCCCCUCCUGGCAGUGUCACCACUUACAGAGGAGGUCUCAAGCUCCAGAGAGAGCAAGUGACAGCCCCAGGCCGCACGGAGUCGGGGCAGCUGGUCGAGCCCUGAUGCGCCUGCUGUGCUGGCUUAUUCUGCUCUGCAGGGUGCCUCCUGCUGGGCCCCAUCCAGGAGGCCCUACAGGGGGCGGACGCAUAACUCGGGGAGCUGCCCAGCGUGGAAGGGGCCACCAAAGAGCAGCGAGCCCCCCGUCACCAGAGGUGUGCAAGCUGGUGAUGAGCUGGCGUGGGUGACCUCUGAGGUUCCUCUGGACUUCAGGGGCUGCGAUCCCGUGAUGGUUUCUGGAUGGUGCCCAGAUCUGGAGCUCUGCCCAGGACGUUGGGUCAUUUGUUCCUUCCACAACAAGUGGGGGGCCUCCUGGUGCCAGGUCCUGUGCGGAGGAGGCGGGUGGAGUUGAGCCCCUCCUUCCGGACACACGUUCCCCGGGGGGUGGGGAAACUGCUCUGAAGGGUUUGUGGCUGCAGGGAGGGCAGGUGGCCGAACUUGGUCAGUGAGGGGGCUGGACCCUUGGUGCUGUGGGCGCAGGAGUGGGGGGCUCUGGGGAGAUUCCCCGGGGGUGGGCGUGGGCUCGGCCUGUUGGGUCCCCUCCCCUCCCCCAGGCAGCAAGUAGACGGGAUUGUCUGGGAGGAUUCCAGGAAUGGCUCCUGCCCUGAUAAAAAUAGACUUCUCCGAAGGGCUUGGGAUGGUGCCAGGCCAGCAGGUGCCCCCCAGGCCUGGCCAGAGCGGGUGCCCCCAGUGAGGGGGGGGACAGGGGUGCUGGUUUGCGGGCUCAGCAGUCUGGUGGGCUCUGGGUCCUGGGUGUAGGUCCACAAAGCUGAUGGGGCCUCUCAGCUUGUAUGGAUGGGGAUGCAGUGUGGCGUGGCAUGAGAGCAGCUUGCCCAGGGGUCCUCUCUCCAGAGGGUCAGGGUCUCCGGGGGUCAGCAAAACUCAGCCCAACUUUGGUUCUUCUGCUUGUCGGCGGUGUGACUCAGGUUAAGUCCCUCGACCCCUCUGAGCUGCUAUUUUAUUAAUAGAGUGUGGCUGAUGGGCUUUGCUCAUGGCAUGCAGCAUCCAGCACGGUGUCUGAGGGGACAAGCUCUCAGGAAGUCAUCCAGGUGCGAGACUGGUGGGGCCCUGAGUGCCCAGAGCUGGCCUUUAGGAAGAGGCUGCUGGAAGCUGGGCCCUA
ensembl:lncRNA